rnacentral:rRNA from 1 species
GAUGAACGCUGGCGGCGUGCCUAAUACAUGCAAGUAGAACGCUGAAGGAAGGAGCUUGCUCUUUCCGGAUGAGUUGCGAACGGGUGAGUAACGCGUAGGUAACCUGCCUGGUAGCGGGGGAUAACUAUUGGAAACGAUAGCUAAUACCGCAUAACAGUAGAUGUUGCAUGACAACUAUUUGAAAGGGGCAAUUGCUCCACUACCAGAUGGACCUGCGUUGUAUUAGCUAGUUGGUGAGGUAACGGCUCACCAAGGCGACGAUACAUAGCCGACCUGAGAGGGUGCUCGGCCACACUGGGACUGAGACACGGCCCAGACUCCUACGGGAGGCAGCAGUAGGGAAUCUUCGGCAAUGGACGGAAGUCUGACCGAGCAACGCCGCGUGAGUGAAGAAGGCUUUCGGAUCGUAAAGCUCUGUUGUAAGAGAAGAACGAGUGUGAGAGUGGGAAGUUCACACUGUGACGGUAUCUUACCAGAAAGGGACGGCUAACUACGUG